AAGAAUGGUCGGCAGAGCAACUGUUGUCGGCGUGACGGUAUCCAACCAGAAAGCCACGGCUAACUACGUGCCAGCAGCCGCGGUAAUACGUAGGUGGCAAGCGUUAUCCGGAUUUAUUGGGCGUAAAGCGAGCGCAGGCGGUUUUUUAAGUCUGAUGUGAAAGCCCUCGGCUUAACCGAGGAAGUGCAUCGGAAACUGGGAAACUUGAGUGCAGAAGAGGACAGUGGAACUCCAUGUGUAGCGGUGAAAUGCGUAGAUAUAUGGAAGAACACCAGUGGCGAAGGCGGCUGUCUGGUCUGUAACUGACGCUGAGGCUCGAAAGCAUGGGUAGCGAACAGGAUUAGAUACCCUGGUAGUCCAUGCCGUAAACGAUGAAUGCUAGGUGUUGGAGGGUUUCCGCCCUUCAGUGCCGCAGCUAACGCAUUAAGCAUUCCGCCUGGGGAGUACGACCGCAAGGUUGAAACUCAAAGGAAUUGACGGGGGCCCGCACAAGCGGUGGAGCAUGUGGUUUAAUUCGAAGCAACGCGAAGAACCUUACCAGGUCUUGACAUCUUUUGAUCACCUGAGAGAUCAGGUUUCCCCUUCGGGGGCAAAAUGACAGGUGGUGCAUGGUUGUCGUCAGCUCGUGUCGUGAGAUGUUGGGUUAAGUCCCGCAACGAGCGCAACCCUUAUGACUAGUUGCCAGCAUUUAGUUGGGCACUCUAGUAAGACUGCCGGUGACAAACCGGAGGAAGGUGGGGAUGACGUCAAAUCAUCAUGCCCCUUAUGACCUGGGCUACACACGUGCUACAAUGGAUGGUACAACGAGUUGCGAGACCGCGAGGUCAAGCUAAUCUCUUAAAGCCAUUCUCAGUUCGGACUGUAGGCUGCAACUCGCCUACACGAAGUCGGAAUCGCUAGUAAUCGCGGAUCAGCACGCCGCGGUGAAUACGUUCCCGGGCCUUGUACACACCGCCCGUCACACCAUGAGAGUUUGUAACACCCGAAGCCGGUGGCGUAACCCUUUUAGGGAGCGAGCCGUCUAAGGUGACCAAAAAAUCGUA
rnacentral:rRNA from 1 species